rnacentral:lncRNA from 1 species
UCCUGCACUUUUCUGAAAUCUCCACUUUUCCUGUUCUCUAAGAGAAGAAAUCCACUUCUCAACAGUGCACCGGCGUCCGGACUGUCUCCGAACGAGACACCGCGACCUCAGUCUUCUGCAAUGGUCGACUCUUCCACUUUUUGCUUUUCCGCUGCUUCCCCUCGUGUCUCCGCUGCCUUCACCGCCGAGUUAGCAUUCCUUUCCAAGAAACUCGUAAAGUCAAAUCCAAGCCUAAACUCGUCUCGUCUCCACUCAUCCACCCUUUUUUAUACACGCGUCCUUAUAUAUGCAUGCAUACACACAUAUGUAUCUAUAUAACUCAUGCUGUAUCCACGCAUGGCCGCAUUCACUUGCAUGUAGAAGAGAACCUACACAUUAUACAUCCGUUCAUAUGCA